rnacentral:rRNA from 1 species
UACGUAGGGGCAAGCGUUGUCCGGAAUCAUUGGGCGUAAAGAGCGCGUAGGCGGGUCCGGUAAGUCCGCUCUGAAAGUCCGGGGCUCAACCCCGGGAGGCGGGCGGAUACUGUCGGGCUAGAGUCCGGAAGAGGCGAGUGGAAUUCCUGGUGUAGCGGUGAAAUGCGCAGAUAUCAGGAGGAACACCAAUGGCGAAGGCAGCUCGCUGGGACGGUACUGACGCUGGAGGCGACGAAAGCGUGGGGAGCAAACAGG